GGUUAAGCGACUAAGCGUACACGGUGGAUGCCCUGGCAGUCAGAGGCGAUGAAGGACGUGCUAAUCUGCGAAAAGCGUCGGUAAGGUGAUAUGAACCGUUACAGCCGGCGAUGUCCGAAUGGGGAAACCCAGUGUGAUUCGUCACACUAUCGUUAACUGAAUACAUAGGUUAACGAGGCGAACCGGGGGAACUGAAACAUCUAAGUACCCCGAGGAAAAGAAAUCAACCGAGAUUCCCCCAGUAGCGGCGAGCGAACGGGGAGCAGCCCAGAGUCUGAAUCAGCUUGUGUGUUAGUGGAACGGUCUGGAAAGUCCGACGGUACAGGGUGAUAGUCCCGUACACCAAAAUGCACAGGCUGUGAACUCGAAGAGUAGGGCGGGACACGUGGUAUCCUGUCUGAAUAUGGGGGGACCAUCCUCCAAGGCUAAAUACUCCUGACUGACCGAUAGUGAACCAGUACCGUGAGGGAAAGGCGAAAAGAACCCCGGCGAGGGGAGUGAAAAAGAACCUGAAACCGUGUACGUACAAGCAGUGGGAGCACCUUCGGGUGUGACUGCGUACCUUUUGUAUAAUGGGUCAGCGACUUAUAUUCUGUAGCAAGGUUAACCGUAUAGGGGAGCCGCAGGGAAACCGAGUCUUAACUGGGCGUUAAGUUGCAGGGUAUAGACCCGAAACCCGGUGAUCUAGCCAUGGGCAGGUUGAAGGUUGGGUAACACUAACUGGAGGACCGAACCGACUAAUGUUGAAAAAUUAGCGGAUGACUUGUGGCUGGGGGUGAAAGGCCAAUCAAACCGGGAGAUAGCUGGUUCUCCCCGAAAGCUAUUUAGGUAGCGCCUCGUGAAUUCAUCUUCGGGGGUAGAGCACUGUUUCGGCUAGGGGGUCAUCCCGACUUACCAACCCGAUGCAAACUACGAAUACCGAAGAAUGUUAUCACGGGAGACACACGGCGGGUGCUAACGUCCGUCGUGAAGAGGGAAACAACCCAGACCGCCAGCUAAGGUCCCAAAGUCAUGGUUAAGUGGGAAACGAUGUGGGAAGGCACAGACAGCCAGGAUGUUGGCUUAGAAGCAGCCAUCAUUUAAAGAAAGCGUAAUAGCUCACUGGUCGAGUCGGCCUGCGCGGAAGAUGUAACGGGGCUAAACCAUGCACCGAAGCUGCGGCAGCGACACUAUGUGUUGUUGGGUAGGGGAGCGUUCUGUAAGCCUGCGAAGGUGACCUGUGAGGGUUGCUGGAGGUAUCAGAAGUGCGAAUGCUGACAUAAGUAACGAUAAAGCGGGUGAAAAGCCCGCUCGCCGGAAGACCAAGGGUUCCUGUCCAACGUUAAUCGGGGCAGGGUGAGUCGACCCCUAAGGCGAGGCCGAAAGGCGUAGUCGAUGGGAAACAGGUUAAUAUUCCUGUACUUGGUGUUACUGCGAAGGGGGGACGGAGAAGGCUAUGUUAGCCGGGCGACGGUUGUCCCGGUUUAAGCAUGUAGGCUGGUUGUCCAGGCAAAUCCGGAUAAUCAAGGCUGAGGUGUGAUGACGAGGCACUACGGUGCUGAAGUAACAAAUGCCCUGCUUCCAGGAAAAGCCUCUAAGCAUCAGGUAACAUCAAAUCGUACCCCAAACCGACACAGGUGGUCAGGUAGAGAAUACCAAGGCGCUUGAGAGAACUCGGGUGAAGGAACUAGGCAAAAUGGUGCCGUAACUUCGGGAGAAGGCACGCUGGUGUGUAGGUGAAGUCCCUGCGGAUGGAGCUGAGACCAGUCGAAGAUACCAGCUGGCUGCAACUGUUUAUUAAAAACACAGCACUGUGCAAACACGAAAGUGGACGUAUACGGUGUGACGCCUGCCCGGUGCCGGAAGGUUAAUUGAUGGGGUUAUCCGUAAGGAGAAGCUCUUGAUCGAAGCCCCGGUAAACGGCGGCCGUAACUAUAACGGUCCUAAGGUAGCGAAAUUCCUUGUCGGGUAAGUUCCGACCUGCACGAAUGGCGUAAUGAUGGCCAGGCUGUCUCCACCCGAGACUCAGUGAAAUUGAACUCGCUGUGAAGAUGCAGUGUACCCGCGGCAAGACGGAAAGACCCCGUGAACCUUUACUAUAGCUUGACACUGAACAUUGAGCCUUGAUGUGUAGGAUAGGUGGGAGGCUUUGAAGCGUGGACGCCAGUCUGCGUGGAGCCAACCUUGAAAUACCACCCUUUAAUGUUUGAUGUUCUAACGUUGGCCCCUUACCGGGGUUGCGGACAGUGUCUGGUGGGUAGUUUGACUGGGGCGGUCUCCUCCCAAAGCGUAACGGAGGAGCACGAAGGUUAGCUAAUCCUGGUCGGACAUCAGGAGGUUAGUGCAAUGGCAUAAGCUAGCUUGACUGCGAGCGUGACGGCGCGAGCAGGUGCGAAAGCAGGUCAUAGUGAUCCGGUGGUUCUGAAUGGAAGGGCCAUCGCUCAACGGAUAAAAGGUACUCCGGGGAUAACAGGCUGAUACCGCCCAAGAGUUCAUAUCGACGGCGGUGUUUGGCACCUCGAUGUCGGCUCAUCACAUCCUGGGGCUGAAGUAGGUCCCAAGGGUAUGGCUGUUCGCCAUUUAAAGUGGUACGCGAGCUGGGUUUAGAACGUCGUGAGACAGUUCGGUCCCUAUCUGCCGUGGGCGCUGGAGAAUUGAGGGGGGCUGCUCCUAGUACGAGAGGACCGGAGUGGACGCAUCACUGGUGUUCGGGUUGUCAUGCCAAUGGCACUGCCCGGUAGCUAAAUGCGGAAGAGAUAAGUGCUGAAAGCAUCUAAGCACGAAACUUGCCCCGAGAUGAGUUCUCCCUGAGACUUUAAGUCUCCUGAAGGAACGUUAAAGACGAUGACGUUGAUAGGCCGGGUGUGUAAGCGCAGCGAUGCGUUGAGCUAACCGGUACUAAUGAACCGUGAGGCUUAACCUU
rnacentral:rRNA from 4 species